rnacentral:rRNA from 1 species
CCUACGGGGUGCAGCAGUGAGGAAUAUUGGUCAAUGGACGAGAGUCUGAACCAGCCAAGUAGCGUGAAGGAUGACUGCCCUAUGGGUUGUAAACUUCUUUUAUAUGGGAAUAAAAUGUUCCACGUGUGGGAUUUUGUAUGUACCAUAUGAAUAAGGAUCGGCGAACUCCGUGCCAGCAGCCGCGGUAAUACGGAGGAUCCGAGCGUUUUCCGGUUUUAUUGGGUUUAAAGGGAGCGUAGGUGGGUUGUUAAGUCAGUUGGGAAAGUUUGCGGCUCAACCGUAAGAUUGCAGUUGAAACUGGCGGUCUUGAGUACGGUAGAAGUAGGCGGAAUUCGUGGUGUAGCGGUGAAAUGCAUAGAUAUCACGAAGAACUCCGAUUGCGAAGGCAGCUCACUGGACUGCAACUGACGCUGAGGCACGAAAGUGUGGGUAUCAAACAGGAUUAGAUACCCGGGUAGUC